rnacentral:rRNA from 1 species
GACGAACGCUGGCGGCGUGCUUAACACAUGCAAGUCGAACGGAAAGGCCCCUUUGGGGGUCCUCGAGUGGCGAACGGGUGAGUAACACGUGAGUAACCUGCCCUUGACUUCGGGAUAACUUAAGGAAACUGGGGCUAAUACCGGAUAGGAAUCCUUGCUGCAUGGAGGGGGUUGGAAAGCUUCGGCGGUUUUGGUUGGACUCGCGGCUUAUCCGCUUGUUGGUGGGGUAGUGGCUUACCAAGGCUUUGACGGGUAGCCGGCCUGAGAGGGCGACCGGCCACAUUGGGACUGAGAUACGGCCCAGACUCCUACGGGAGGCAGCAGUGGGGAAUAUUGCACAAUGGGCGGAAGCCUGAUGCAGCAACGCCGCGUGCGGGAUGACGGCCUUCGGGUUGUAAACCGCUUUCAGCAGGGGCGAAGCUUGUGGUGACGGUACCUGCAGAAGAAGCACCGGCUAACUACGUG